UUUGUUAUUUAGGUCCUGGUGAAAAACAGCCACAGCCAUAGUCAUGGGAUUGAGGCAUCUGCCUGUCAGGAACCAAAGGCUGUUUUGCACAGAAUGAGUGAUCAAGACAAUGACGGUGUUACUCUGAUGAUGUUCAAAUUCUGUAGGAGGAGGCAGGUGAGAAAAUGAGAAAAGUGAAGACAGAGCUUUUUAAAGAGAGAACUGACAUGAAUGAAGACUCAAGGGUACAGGAUUGGGCAUCAGAGGACCUGACCUCAAAUCCUAUCUCUUCUACUUAUUGCCUGCAUGACUUUGGACAACAUACCUAUCCUUCCUGGGUGGCAGUUUGCCUAUCUCUAAAAGGAAGACUUUGGACUAGAUUAGGGCUUCCCAGCCUCCGGAUGCUGUAGAAUGUGUGCAAUGGGCUCCACAAAUCCAUUGAUGAAUCACAAAACGAGUGGAAUGUCAGUGGAUAUUGCUUCCAUCAAAGUGGAUCACCAGUUAUGGAGUUUAGGGUCUUAGAGUUUCCUGGGGGCAUUGAAAGGUUAAGUGAUUUAUUCAACUUCACAUGAUUACUAGGAGUCAGAGGCAAGAUUUGAACCCAGGCCUUCCCUACUCUAUGGUUGGCCCUCUGGUACUAAAGCUCCUUGCUUCUAUGAUACUGUGUAAUACAAAUUUUAAAGUUUUGGAAUAAAUUCAGGAUUUUCUGCUAUUUGAUAUGGAGAGGUGGGGUAGUCACUUGGUUAUGCAGAUUAGAACAUUUUGGAAUUAGGAUAUUUGACAUGAGAUUCAGACAAACUUAAGGAUAUACCAUGGGCUGUGUCUAUACAACACCAAAAUCUUGGACCAAUUCAGGGAACAUCGCGAUUCAUUAUGUAGACCAUUGAGUAACAAAAUAAAACAAACCUCCCAAAUACCUCUAAAUAAAUCCUACUAUGAGACUGAA